GACAUGCCAUUUACGAUCAAUCUCGACGUCGAUUCGUUCGUGAAACCCCGACCAAAGAGACUAGCAUAUCAUCUAGUUAAAAGGAACGUGCACGGUCGAUGGAAUGGAAACAGUGCGAUUUAACCGCGGUCUGUCGUUUAAGCCUACCACGGAACUAUGUCGAAUAGCUUCACUUACAUACUCGAGCAGAGAAUCGACCAUUCCCCGACAAGCUAUCCAAAAUUGCUACCUGCUAGGCUGGAAACAAGACGAAGGACGUGUGGGCAAAUAUUCAAACCUGAUUGAUCGAUGUCUGAAAUUAAAAGUGAACGUUGCACGCCACUUCAAAGAGAAGUUUAUCACGCUCUUCCACCAUUGGCGUAACAGGGCUUUCUAUAUAGAGCUGGCUGAAUAUUCGCGUCAGCAAGCCGUCGGGGGACAGGAAAUUUGUCCUUAAUCGUCCAAUUACUGGGGCAGUUAUCCGACAAGGCUACGCGAAAGAAAUCGCGCUUGUUCGUUUAUGGGACACCUGUGAGCGCGUACGACGCUCUUCGCGAAAGACCUUAGGUGCAAAGGAGUAUUCAAUCGCGUCUUGGAAUUAAACUUCGGCUUAUCUGAGCGCGCAGUAGUCGAGAGAUCGUUAACGAAAACUGGCGACUGGUCGUAGCUCUCCAGUGGAUAUGGUAAAAAUAACGCUGAAAUAAAAUGGAAUCCUCCAUUACAGACCCUCGAGGUUCAUGCGGGGGUUAUCUAAGUUUCCCCCCACUGUUAUCUUAAUGACUCGCGGAAGCGUACGCGUGCUUCCCUAUCGCUGCCGCCUGAUUUCAAGAAAAGGAAGUCGGGUUGGCUGGGUGAACGGAGAGAGAGGAGCCGUGAAUGAGGCGGCCAAAGGCGGGAACGAGAAGGAAAGAGGAGCGGAGUACGGCACGUCCGAUAUCCGUGCACAUAUUGCCACAGCGCGCGCCUUAUCCCGAUCAGUAAUUAGUCCGAUCGUUUGCCAAAGACCGAAAGGGAAGGCUCGUUGAUUGCUAUUAACGGCGUCGCUGAUUGGGCGAAACCGAUUCAAUUGCUGCCGGCCUGCCCUCCAACCGACGGAAACUUGGAGUGUUUCGCCUUCUACUCGAAACCAUUCUUUUCCAUCGUUGGCUCGCAAGGAAACUUCGACGAUUGAUACAGUCCAAAAGUUCUCAAGUUUUUGCAGAAAUGCAGGACAUGAACUCGAUUACGGUUCUGUUCGCUAGUGGUACCAAAGAGCGAGUUCGGGGAAGUGAAAACAUCCCUACAAAGGAACAUCGAUUUUUCAGAGUUUGAUAUCUCUGAAGUCGCAAGGGAUGUCGAAGAAAUAUCAGUUGAUAGGAGUGUAGUAAUUGUACUUCUCUUGUCAGAGGCAUUCCUAGAGGACUUUCUUUUCUUGAGUGCUAUUUCAAGUCACUUCCUUCUGAUCAAAAUUAUUUCAAAAUUUCAAAUCAUCCAUUUCAAAUCAAUUUCAAAUUUCAGAACUAAGUUUAAAAUGGAUUACAUAUUCAACUUCAUUUCUCAAAGUUUUCUAAUAAUUCUACUAAUGAUCUCACGAGUUUCCUGUGUUUACUACCCUCAUGCCCGUCAUCCCUUAUAACCCACGAUUCACGCCUGGAUCGACUCCCAGCACUUCGUUCAGCUAACCCCGCGAGGUUUUCUUCCAGGAAGGCUAUUUCAUCGCUCGCGAUGUACAAGAUAAUAAAUCGCGAACGCAUCCAUCGGGCGAUUUUCCGCUCGCGUGUAGCCGAUCGUGGAUUAUUGUGCGGGCACGCCAUUCAUCGUUAUCGUUUGUUCCAAGCGGACGUUGGAAAUUCCGCUGGUAUCUCUUCAUCUCCUGUCCCAAUUUUUCUUUCAUCUUCUACUCCUCGCCAACAAGAUUAACGCGAUUAACGCGAGUCCUCAAUUUUUCUGCUGACGCAGUCAGGUUCAAUUUAUUUUGUUAACUCAUCCAUACAAUGAUAUGACGAUACAACAGCUACUAGAAUGAGUGAUGUAUUCCUUAAAACAUGAUCUGUUAUUUUUAUAACAAAAGUAAAAUAUACUGUUCUAUAGUUGAAGUAUCAGUAAACUGAGAGAGUGAAGGAUGAGAGCGCGAGGUGAAGCAGAAACCGCUGGAGUGAAAAUUUUAGAAAGUUUUGGAAGACGAAUGAGAUGUGAAAUGUAGGAAGAAGUUUGCUUUUCAAUUCUUAAUGCAGUAGUAAUACAGUUUCUAAUUUGUUUAUAAUAGCUACUCCAUCCCGAGACGAAAUUAUUCUCGAGCAUUUAGAAAAAAAAUGUAUACACUGGGACAUCUGCUCCUUUUGGUAUGGUGGUCAACUGAGAUCACCACAAAAUAUCCAUUCGUACACAAUGUUUAGUGAAUAGCUUCAACAAUUUUCUCCGCACUCAGUCACCGCGAUAUUAGUUCACUCGGCUAUUUGUAACGGCCCCGUUAAAUUUCCUUUCGAGGAAUAAUUCAGCGGUGCGAUGACUGAUUCGAUCGACGUGGCGGUAGAAAGAGAGAAUCGAGAAAGCGUAGAUGAUGCGAUAAAACUAAACAAGUAGUACGAGAAAUACGUCCCGGUCGAGCAACGCCGUGGAACAGCGAGCAACGAGUAUGCGUGUCUCGGUGCAGAACGGAAUCACAGGGACGAGACAGACGUCAGGAUUGGAUGGAACCGACGCGAUUCGAUCCGUGAAAAUUCUUAUCGACCGUUUUCCCGGCUCCCCGCCCUACCACGCACAACCCUUUUUCGUUUAUUCUUCAUCUCUCAUAUGCCAUUCUUCUUCGUGCCGUUUGGGGAACCGCUUUGAAUGUUUUUCACGUUCCCGAAAAAUAAACUUUGCAGCCCACGGGAUCGCGCCUGUUCCAGCCGAUGGAACGGUUCCCUGAAACGGAAACCGGAUGCCAGGCUAUGUAACGGCGCGGAAGAGGAUCGAAGUCUGACGGAACUGAAGGCUGGAUCAACGUGGUGGCUUCACGGGAGAACCGGGAAUUACGCGUGCACACGUACACUGAGAACAGAGAACUCGAAAACGAAUACCUUACACGCUUUGAAUCGGAUCGCCCUCACCGAGCACCGAUUGAUCCAGAAGUUCCGCAUCGACUCAUUCAUGCGUGCCGACCUAAACCAUCCAAUCAGUGGAACCCGAAAGACCUGCAACGGCCGCCAUUUAGCUGGCGGGGUAAGCCGUGUAACAAGCCAGGAAAACGAUGAAAGACGGACCGUAGGGGCCGACGGAGGAUCGAGAAAGUGGAGCAUGGUUUGCCGAGUCGAAAGCUCGCGAACGAUCCUACGGUUUUGUUGGACGUUCCCGCGAAGUAUGAGGUCGUUGGUAGCGAUGGAACUGAGGAGGGAACGCUGGCAACUGUCAGAAUUUUGGUCAUCUAUUCUGAAUGUUGUUUAAGCUCUUUAUUUUUAGAGGCCAGUGGAAAAUUUCGAUCAAAAUCAAAAGAAAAACUUAAAAUAAAAUUAGCUCGUGGUCUACGACCGUUUGCUCCCACAUGCUUACAUUUGUAUUUUAAUUAAAUGUAAUUGGAUCAACAUGAACAACUCCUGAAGCCCUUCGAUCUACAGUCAGUCCCGUAAGUAUUCGUACCUUCUAUGUUCAUUGAAAAAGUUUGUUUAAAUUAAAUGGUAGAUGUGACGUUUAUUUAAUUCAGACAAAUUUUGUCAAUACACAUAGAGGGUACGAAUAUUUAUGGGACUGACUGUAUAUCUAUUUUAAAAACAUCAUUCAUGAUCAACUGAUUCCAUUGCUGACUCGAUCCACAUCAAGCUGGACGAAAACAUGUUACAAUACCCAAAACCACUCCCUCGGACUCGUUUUAGGGGAGUGUUAAUGGAUCGGUCCCAUCGCUAGUCGAAGGCACCGAGGAGCAAGGAUCGAUGACCACGAUUCGAGAGUUCGUUCUGAGAGCAGAAGGUGGAAACGACGCACGGCCGAGCUGGUACGUUUUCAGAAUGCUCCCAACCGGUGUACAUCGGCGUGCAAAGGAUCUUGGAGCCACGUGGAACGAGGAACCCGACAGGGAACACGCGGAAGGGUAGAAGAAGAGGCUGGCCUAGCGGCAGUCGAGUCGAAUAGCGCGAAAUAGCAGCGGAUUUCGUGGAAAUUGAAAAUCGAGUACUGGAAGAGCGGCUGCCACUCUUCGGCGCAAACGGCUGUAUUCACCACGGCCAUACUACUUCCGCAAAGGGAAAACGGAGAUGGUACUCUUCAACCGAGCCACGCGUCUACAAGUCUGCGGAAGACCGACUGAUCGGAGCAACGAAUAAGCCGCGUAAUAGGAAGGGAAUACGUUUUGCUUUUAUCGCGCGUCCCCGUCGACUCGCGACGCGAUUUAUCCGCAUUUUUAGUUCUGAUUGAAUUCGCUCGCCGAGAAAUCGGAAUGCACCCCUGAAGAUGCCGGAAUUCUUAUGCAGUCGAUUGAGCGGUGACUCCGCCAUUGAUCCUGGAGUAAAUCGAUUUCCGUAUGGGGGGCUGAGGACCCUGUAAAUUUAUUUGCUGGACCUUUCUUAAAUAAAAUUAUGCGAAUAAUAUUGAUAUCGAAGAAUGCUAACACUAUCGAGAUAUUAAUCACAAAUCAUUUUAGGCGAACAGUACCCAGUCAAGCUGACAUACAGCAAUGACAGCAAUUAAAUUAAAAUUCUCUAUCGGGUGACCUGGGUCAAACGACACUUGCGUCGAAGACCAACGCUCCCAGUGUGAUUUCUGUGACGGAAUCGUGACCCAAAUAUGCUAUUAUUCUUGAGGGAAGGCGUCAACGCUGUGUGCGUGUGCGAGUCGAUAUUAGAAUUUCAAAGUUGUCGCGUUUCCGCGUGUAUAAAUCGGGACUGUAAAAAGGCUGAUGAGAACAUGCACGCGGAUAGGUCUAAAUAAAGCUCGCCCUGAUGAAAGUGGAGUCGCGCAAAUGAAACAUAUGAAGCGCACGCGAUGCGCCUGUUGUCUGUGCCCGCGCACCGUGCGCGCCCUGCUGGUUCUGCUUUUGUGCAACUAUCACUGCCGUUCGCCAUAUUUUUUCCCUUCCGCGACCGAUUCGACAAAAGUUCUCGCGGUGUUCCCCUUUCGCGAGAGGUUAGGCAGCAGCCAGGAUGCACCGAUAAUACUCUCGCCUGACAAUUUCAGUAAUACAAGCGCCCCUAGUCGCCGACCAUAUUAGCACCCCCCAUCGGAGGCGUUCGAUUCAUAAAGUAUCGACUAAUUCUUUCAAUUCAAAAUCAAUGUGUCGAAUUCCUCAAAUUUGUCAAGAUAUUAAUGAAGUAUAACAUGUUAAAUAAAUUAUAAUUAAAUUGUAAUCAUUUACGUGGUCACUAAUAGCCUCGUAGUUGAUGUGGCCUUACAUAAAGUGAUUCGAAAAAAAAUAACGUUGUAUACGAUGUUUAAAUGGCAAUGUUUACAUGUCGCAUGGGUGCAUAUUUCUGCGUCGUGACGAAAUAUCGUAAUUUGUAAACAUUAUUACCGCGGCCACGAUAAAGCUAUCUCUACAGCGUGGUUCCGCGCACGCCGUCGCCUUCUGACACAUUUCCAUGCAUGGGAAAUCAACUUUGACAACGAGUCAGGGACAUUUAAAAUCUAACGAGGCUGCGACGAAUAGGCAUUAAUUACGCUCAUCGUUGGAGCCAGCCGACCGAAACUGCAAAAUCGCGACCAGACGUCGAGUUAUGAAAGCCUCGAGUUG